AAUGCGAUAAGUAAUGUGCAUUGCAGAAUUCAGUGAAUCAUCGAAUCUUUGAACGCACCUUGCGCUCCUUGGUAUUCCGAGGAGCAUGCCUGUUUGAGUGUCAUGGAAUUCUCAACUCUAUUUGCUUUUGUGAAUAGAGCUUGGAUUUGGAGGUUUAUUGCCGGUACUUGUGAUCGGCUCCUCUUGAAUGCAUUAGCUCGAACCUUUGCGGAUCAGCUAUCGGUGUGAUAAUUGUCUACGCCGUUGCAGUGAAGCAUAUCAAUGGGCUCGGCUUCCAAUCGUCCUUUACUGGACAAUGACUUUGACCUUUGACCUCAAAUCAGGUAGGAUUACCCGCUGAACUUAAGC
rnacentral:misc_RNA from 1 species